ACAAAGCCCAUCAUCCCCACACCCCCGGGUGGCCUUCGUACAGGUGGUAGUCCUUGAUUUACAGCAGUUUGUUGUAAGGGGCCCGUUCAAAAUUACAAGGACACUGAAAGAGGUGACUUAAUAUGACCGUUUUUCACACUUUAACGACCGCCGCCUCAUUUCCCCACCACAACCAUGUGAUCAAAAUUCAAAUGCUGGGGAACUGACUCACAUUUAUGACGGCCCGCGGCCUCCCAGGGUCAUCUGAUCCCCUUUUGCGACCUUCUGAGGAGCAAAGUCAACGGGGAAGCGAGAUUAAUUUACCAACCGUGUGACGAACUUAAAAAUUGCAGUGAUUUGCUUAACAACUGUGGCAAGAGAGGUCAUAAAAUGGGGCAAAACUCACUUAACAAAUGUCUCGCUUAGCAACAGAAAUGCUGGGCUCGAUUGUGGUCGUCAGUGAAUGGUCACUAAAUGAACUUACCUGUAUAGACAACAUACUACAACUUGACAAGAACACAAUUGAGCCCCAAAUUUCCAGACACUUUUUCCGUGUUGUUGUGACAGUCACUAAAUGGAUGGUUGUGACCUGAGGACUACCUGCGCAGACACAUUACAGAAUAGAAUAGAAUAGAAUAGAAUAGAAUAGAAUAGAAUAGAAUAGAAUAGAAUUCUUUAUUGGCCAAGUGUGAUUGGACACACAAGGAAUUUGUCUUUGAUGCAUAUGCUCUCAGUGUACAUAAAAGAAAAGAUACAUUCGUCAAGAAUCAUAAGGUACAACGUUUAAUGAUAGUCAUAGGGUACAAAUAAGCAAUCAGGAAACGAUAUCAAUAUAAAUUGUAAGGAUACAAGCAACAAAGUUACAGUUAUACAGUCAUAAGUGGGAGGAGAUGGGUGAUGGGAACGAUGAGAAGAUUAAUAGUAGUGCAGACUUAGUGAAUAGUUUGACAGUGUUGAGGGAAUUAUUUGUUUAGCAGAGUGAUGGCAUUCGGGAAAAAACAGUUGAGAAUCAUCUAUCUCCCUUGGAGAUGCCAGGGCUGCCUUGUAUUUCCUUGCAUGCAGUGCUCCAGAUCUUAACAUCCUGUAGAUAUAUUUAGUCUCGUUUCCCACAGUGCCCCCUGCAGACAGACUGAGGAUUAUGGUACUUGAUGUCCACAGUUUAGGGAGAGGAUGGACUGCAACCAAAGGGAAGUUCGUGAUUUGCACUGAAUCCUGAUGGGACAAGAGGUCAAGACAUGAAGAUGGGGGCCUCAACUCUGCAACUGAAGCAGUGGUGGGUUUCUACUGGUUUGCCCCGGUUCAGGCGAACCACUAGUGGCGGCGGUGAGAGGCUCCGCCCAUUCGCCCGGAUAUCAUCACGGACACUGCGCAUGUGCAGAAGUGCCACAUGGGUGCACUCACAGUUUUGAACCGGUAGCGAAGGUAAGUGAAACCCACUACUGAACUGAAGCCCCCUCCCCUUUAAACACAUUACAGGUAGUCCUCGACUUAUGACCAUAAUGGAGCCCAACUCUUCCGUUGCUAAGCAAGACAGUUGUUAAGUGAGCUUUGAAUCUUUUUUUUUUUUUACAAAAUUUCUUGCCACAUUUGUUAAGUGAAUCACUGCAGUUGGAAAGUUAGUCGCACAUUUGUUAAGUGAAUUUGGCUUUCCCAUUGACUUUGCUUGUCAGAAGGUCGCAAAGGGUAUUGUGUGACCCCGGGACACUGCAGCUGUUAUAAAUACGAGUCAUCCAAACUUUUAUCACGUGAUCAAAGGGAAUGCUGCAACAGUCCUAAGUGUGAAAAACGGUCAUAAGUCACUUUUUUCAGUGCUGCUAUAACCGGUCACUAAAUGAAUGGCUGUAAAUUGAGGAUUACUUGUUCACUAAGUGAACUGCUGUGAGUUGAGGUUUAUUUAUUUAUUUAGCGUAUGGCUGGUCACACACAGCAUUGUGUGUUGAGGAUAACCUAUAGUUAAGGCAUCAGGCUAGAUGAGACUGAGUUCUAAUCCCUUCUCAAGUACAAAGUCAUAUAGGUGACCUUGGGCCAGCUACUUUUUCUCAGCCCCCAAAAGGAGGCAAUGGCAAACCACUUCUGAAAAAUCUUGCCAAGAAAACUGCAGGACUUCUCCAGGGACCCUCUAAGAAUUGACCACGAUUGAACAGAAAGGGAAAAAAAAGAGGCAACCUCCAAGUGUCAGAAGAGGCUUUUCUUUGAGCAGGGAUCCUUCUGUUCCUUUUCAACAAUCCAAACAGAUGCAGGAAGAUCCCGGCAAUUAAAACCUGCCUUUUUGCCGUUUGGCUGACAGAUGUGACUUUAAAGAGACGAGCCGUCUGAUGCUUUGAUUUGUGCUCCGGUUGGGUUAUCCCGUCUCAGGACGAGAGAAGGGCUUUUCAUCCAGUCCUCGACGUCCGACUACAAUUGAGCCCAAAAUUUUUGUUGCUAACCAAGACAGUUGUUAGUUGCCCUAUGGUACGACCUUUCUUGCCACUGUUGUUAAGUGAAUCACUGCAGUUGUAAACUCAGCCACACGGUUGUUAAGCGAAUCCAGUUUCCUCUUUGACUUUGCUUCUGGCCAAAGAUGAUUGCAUGACCCUGGGACACUGCAUCCGUCAUAAAUAUGCGUCAGUUCCCAAGCAUCUGAAUUUUGAUCGUGUGACCUUGGAGAUGCCACAACGUACAUUUGGAAAAAGGGUCAUGAGCCAUUUCUUUUUUCCCCCAUUGCUGUUGUACCUUUGAACCAUCACUAAACGUUGUAAGUCAAGGACUUCCUGUAUUUGCGGAUAUUUUUUUCCCCUCUGUUUGCAAUGCUUUGCACACACACACAAAAAAAAGCACCGGUGGAUUUUGCACGGCUCCCCUGAGAAAAACCAGCCUUUGUGUGAAUCCACCUCCCACCCCGCACCACCAACAAUCACGGGCCAUGAAAUUGUGUUGCCUGCCACACAAAGCGCCUGGCCGUGGCCCCUGGCCCCAUCCCCAGAGUCUCCAUGCAAAUUCGCGGGAAUCCCUUCCACCGCCCAGCCUGGCUUCUUAACCGAUGUUAACAUGUUGUUAUCUGCUCGGCAGGUGGGUUAG